rnacentral:miRNA from 1 species
CGUGCCACCCUUUUCCCCA